rnacentral:lncRNA from 1 species
CAAAUUUCUAAGCAGACAGAGACAGGUCCCCAGUGAAACCUCACCUUCAAGCCAAAGACAGUUUAAACCCUGAAAAUUGAGCUGCCAGUUCUGAAUAGAGUCCAUGACCAGAGUGAAAACUUCUAUUCCUGUUUGCCCACUCUUUACUGAUUGGUUCUUUCUGAAUAAUGCUUUUUAACCGAUCGAAUAUUCCCUUUUCCAAGGCUACCUAUAGCCUACACCUCCUCAUUCCAAACAUAUAAAAACCCUGCAAUCAGCCUCACAGACGGCUACCCACUUUUGGUCCCCUUUUGCAGUUGAGAGCUUUUCCUCUUUGACUCAAUAAACUUCUAUUCUGCCUUACUUGCUCUCCAUUGUCCACAUACCUCAUUCCUCUUAGUCAUGGGACAAGAACUGGACUGUGGGAACAAGAGAGCUGUAACACAUCCCUGUUCACCAAGCUGUGAGUGGCAGAAAUAAAAGAGCUCGUAACAUGCUCCCACUUGCAGAGCUACAGGAGUGAAGAGCCGUGACACUUCUGAGGGCCCAGAUAAUGGGACUCCCCAAGCAAAAGCUAUAACACUCCUUGGGGUGCUGCAAUUGCUGACAUUUCUGAGUUUUUGGAUGCCACCACGUUCUCCUCUUCUACAUGCUGGCACCCAAUGUGGAAGCCACUCGCAGCAUGCCUGGCUCAGCCACGGGCUAAGUGUGGAGCUGUGGUGGGCACAGGAUCCAAGUGGGUGUGAGCUGAGCACAGCCUGCUGGGCCAAGCGGGCAGAGUGAGCCCAGUGGGUCCAAGAGAAGCCCUGGACAGAGGUCACAGUGGCCACAGGGAUUUUUGCCUGACAAAGUGGCACUGAAGGAAUCCUGUGUCAUUUCUGGGAUCUUGUCCGGGAUCUGCAGAAGGUCCUCAGGAUGCCUGCAAUGAGAGGAUGGCCAACUUCAACUACCAGCCUCCAGCCAAUGCUAAGUUCUUCAAGUCCUUCACCAAGCCUUCCACAUGCGUAAGGACAAAACUAUCAAUUGGCCCAAAGUUUGUUCUCAUGUAAAAAUCUGCUAACAAUGGUAAACAGGGCAUUAAUACUUGUGAGACUUGAUUUAAAAAUAAUCUCCUCAAUCGAUGGUUUCGGUUUAUGCCCACCAGAACCCAAAGAAUGGUAGGCUACCUGAAGGAAGACUGACAGAUGGAUUUCACACAUAUCCCAAAGACAAGGGCCACCCAGUAUCUCCUUGAAUGGGUAGAUACCUUCACUAACUGGGCAGAAGCAUUUCCUUGUCAGGCAGAUAAAGUCUCUGAGGUGAUAAAAGUUCUAAUUAGUGAGAUGACCCCUCGCUUAUGACUCCCUAAGUACUUCCAGAGUAGUAAUGGUCCCUCAUUCAAGGUGGCUGUCAACCAGGGGGUCUCAAGGUUACUAGGCAUACAAUACUAUCUUCAUUGUGUUUGGAGACCACAAUCCUCGGGAAAGGUAGAAAAGAAAAAUGAUAUUAUUAAAAGGGAUCUCAGAAAACUGUCUCAAGAGACUCAUCUCCCCUGGAUUACUCUUCUCCCCCAUAGCCCUACUACGUGUUAGAAACACCCAUUCAAAGCUGGGUUUAAGUGCCUUUGAAAUGUAUGGACGGCCUUUUCCCAUCAAUAUUUCUUGCUAGACCAAGAAACCUCUGAUUUGAUUAAACAUAUAACUUCUUGGCCCAUUUCCAAUGGGAACUGAAACAACUGUUGGAGGUCCAACACUGUGAACUAGGGUCACCUCCAUUUAACUGAGGGGAUUUAGUACUGGUAAAGCCCCUUCCUUCUUUUUCCUUCUCUAGGUCCAGAGUGGGAGGGACCUUACACUGUACUUUGUUCUACUCCUUUGCCAGUGAAAGUCACUAAAAUAGAUUAUCAGAUUAUACUUGAGUACAGGCCUGGGAAGCUGAUGGAAUUACCUGUUGACCCAGAAGAGCCCCUGAAGCACCACUGUGAGAAAAUCAGAGAGCUCAAGCUAAAGAUCACAAAAGAUAAAUGUCAAUAAUUAACCUUCCAUGGAUGUCCUCUUUAUAGUCUUGCCUAUGCUUACUGUUCCUCAUUAUAAGGCAUCUUUGCCAAGGACCACUUACUCCCAAAGGCCCAUGAUACUAUCUACUCCCUUAAACAGCUAUCUCUCUUCUGAAGUUUAACUUCCCUUCCACAUAUGAAAUUUAAUACCUUUCAUUGAGUGAAACAGCUCUGGCCACAACAUUGUUUUCAGAGUGGUUAGUCUAUUUAUUUCCUAUUUCUGUUCUCUUUGGCACUAGGUAUUUUUCCUUUUAUCUCCUCUUUGUAUAAUACUCAUGUUUGGUUUAUUCAUAGUUAACCUCCUUGUAAGAUUUGCUUCUUCUCACCUAGAGGCCAUCAAACUCCAAAUGGUCAUGCAAAUGGAGCCUCAGAUGAUGGAUUCUUUUUACCAGGGACCCUUAGAUAGGUCUCUGAGAGAGACCUGACUGCCAUUUUCCCAAACAAUGCCUCUGUCAGCAUGAAGCAGUGAGAGCAGUCACCAUUCCUAUCCUGACAGCAGUUAGAUGUACCUCUUCAGAGGGGAGAUCAUAGUGAUAGGAGACAGACAGAUUCCUAGGCAUACAGGGAUGGUUCCCUGGUGAAACCCAACCUUCCAGCCAAAGAUAGUUUAAAUCCUGAAAACCGAGCUGCUAGUUCCGGAUAGAGUCCAUGACUGGAGUGAGAACUUUACUUGUUUGCCCACUCUUUCCCAAUUGGUUCUUUCUGAAUAACGGUUUUUAACCAAUUGAAUGUUGCCUUUUCCAAGACUACCAACAGCCUGUACCUCCUCAUUCCAAGCCUAUAAAAACCCCAAACUCAGCCUUACACAUGGCUACCUGCUUUCAGUCCCCUCUCACAGCUGAGAGCUUUCCUUCUUUUACUCAAUAAACUUCUAUUUUGCCUUAUUUGCUCUCCAUUGUCUGCAUACCUCAUUCCUCUUGGUCACAGGACAAGAAUCUGGAACCCACUGAACUGUGGGAAUGAGAGAGCUAUAACACGCCCCCAUUUACCAAGCUUCAAGCAGUGGGAAUAAAAGAGCUUGAAACACGCUUCCAUUCUCCAAACUAUGGGAGUGAAGAGCAUGACACUUCUGGAAGUCCAGACCUCAGGACUUCCCAAGCAAGAUCUGUAACAGCCCUUGGGGCUCCACAAUUGCUGGCAUCUCCACGUUUUGGGGAACCACCAUGUUCCAUCCAUCUACACACUGGUACCCCGUGUGGAAGCUGCUCAUGGCACACCCAGCUUAGCCAUGGGCUAUGCCUGGAGCCAUAGUGGGUGUGGCAUCCAGGCAGGCAUGAGCUGAGUGCAGCCUGCUAGGCUGACCAGGUGGAGAGAGUCCAACAGGCCAAAGUGAGGCCCCAGGCAGAGAUCACAGCAGCUGCAGAGAUUUCCAGCUGACGAUACAGCACUGAAGAAAUCCUGUUUCAAUGGCAGGAAAGAGUUAAUUAAUUAACUCAGUAGAUAUUGAAUAAACAUCUCUUUUAUCCAGGCACUGCCCUGGGCACUGCACAUAAAAUAGUAAAAAAGGUGUACAUUUUCUCUUAAGGAACUUGUAAUGAAGUAAGAAAUGCAGACAAGAAAGGAGAAAUUGUAACGUGAAAUUGUGCUACUCUUGAUGAAAAGAGUCAAACUCUGUAAAAUAUUUGAAGAGAUUUAUUCUGAGCCAAAUAUGAGUGACCAUGGCCAGCGACACAGCCCUCAGGAGGUCCCGAGAACAUGUGCCCAAGGUGGUCGGGCAGAGCUUGCUUUUAUACAUCUUAGGGAGACAUGAGAUUUUAAUCAAC